GUGAAACUGCGAAUGGCUCAUUAAAUCAGUUAUCGUUUAUUUGAUAGUUCCUUUACUACAUGGUAUAACUGUGGUAAUUCUAGAGCUAAUACAUGCUUAAAAUCUCGACCCUUUGGAAGAGAUGUAUUUAUUAGAUAAAAAAUCAAUGUCUUCGGACUCUUUGAUGAUUCAUAAUAACUUUUCGAAUCGCAUGGCCUUGUGCUGGCGAUGGUUCAUUCAAAUUUCUGCCCUAUCAACUUUCGAUGGUAGGAUAGUGGCCUACCAUGGUUUCAACGGGUAACGGGGAAUAAGGGUUCGAUUCCGGAGAGGGAGCCUGAGAAACGGCUACCACAUCCAAGGAAGGCAGCAGGCGCGCAAAUUACCCAAUCCUAAUUCAGGGAGGUAGUGACAAUAAAUAACGAUACAGGGCCCAUUCGGGUCUUGUAAUUGGAAUGAGUACAAUGUAAAUACCUUAACGAGGAACAAUUGGAGGGCAAGUCUGGUGCCAGCAGCCGCGGUAAUUCCAGCUCCAAUAGCGUAUAUUAAAGUUGUUGCAGUUAAAAAGCUCGUAGUUGAACUUUGGGCCCGGUUGGCCGGUCCGAUUUUUUCGUGUACUGGAUUUCCAACGGGGCCUUUCCUUCUGGCUAACCUUGAGUCCUUGUGGCUCUUGGCGAACCAGGACUUUUACUUUGAAAAAAUUAGAGUGUUCAAAGCAGGCGUAUUGCUCGAAUAUAUUAGCAUGGAAUAAUAGAAUAGGACGUUUGGUUCUAUUUUGUUGGUUUCUAGGACCAUCGUAAUGAUUAAUAGGGACGGUCGGGGGCAUCAGUAUUCAAUUGUCAGAGGUGAAAUUCUUGGAUUUAUUGAAGACUAACUACUGCGAAAGCAUUUGCCAAGGACGUUUUCAUUAAUCAAGAACGAAAGUUAGGGGAUCGAAGAUGAUCAGAUACCGUCGUAGUCUUAACCAUAAACUAUGCCGACUAGGGAUCGGGUGGUGUUUUUUUAAUGACCCACUCGGCACCUUACGAGAAAUCAAAGUCUUUGGGUCUGGGGG
rnacentral:rRNA from 1 species